GUGCAGCCUCAUGGGCAGGGCCCUGUAACUGACCCCCUAUUUCCCUAUUUGAAAAUGAGUGAACGAAAGUGAAAGUGAAGCUAAACACGUCUUUUUUCUUUGAAAGGUGGUAAAAGUUUCACAUUAUUUAAUGCAACCCAGCUACGGGGAUGGGGGGAGGAGAAUAGUGGUAACAGAAAGAAAAGAAAGGAACGGACGGCGCCUGUGGCUCAAGGAGUAGGGUGCUGGUCCCAUAUGCCGGAGGUGGCGGGUGCAUACCCAGCCCCGGCCAAAAACCACAUAAAAAAAAAAAAAAAAAAAGAAAGAAAAGAAAGGAACAAAACGCCACAGACAACCACACCGACCCAGAAGCAAAGGCAGCCAACUAUCUUGUUUAUUAUAAAGAUACGCAGUGAAGACAAACCUGGCUGCAGACCGAAGCUGGAAUGGUACAUGCCAAAGGUACAGUACUAGACGCAAAGUGCAUUGUCACACAGAUUAACAAAACAGAGUUGUAAAAGCAUUCCCCUUUAGUCUCGCCUCCGAGAGGAGGGAAUGGGAUGGUGAGAGGCAGCGGAGCUGGGCGACGCGCCGGCAGGUGGCAGUGCUGGAACGGGACGGCUGGUGGGUGGGAGGACACGGGGUGGGAGCAGGGGCCAGAAAGGCACAAUCACGUCUACACGGAGCACGAGACAGUCCCAUGUCAGACAAGGACGCGAGAGGGGCACUACUGCACACCGGGACACAGGAACAGGGCAGAGAAGCCGGGGAGGAGGGAGAAGUUUCUAGACGCCCAGGCAGGAGGCCCGGAGCAGCAGGUGAGUGGGCGGGGAGUGGGCCACAGUACAAGCAAGGCUAGAAGUCCUCUAGAUAGAAAGGCACUUUCACGUGUACAUACUACGGAUGUACAGCAACACAGUAGGUGACAGUCACAAGCAGGGAGCUACCAGCACUGCCACAGACCCAACCGCAGGGAGGGGUUGAACUGAUUUCGCCUUGUGGGCAGGUCACCCGGAGUGUGGCGGUGGACAGCAGUCUCUCUUGGGACACGCUGCUUACUACACUUUAAAUACCUAGAAUAACCAUCACACUACACAGGGAACUUGAAGAAUGCUCUAAGGGGGCAUUCACAAAUGCACGGUGUAUACAGUCCUUUCACUAAACUGUUUCUAAGAUAAGCGAUACGGAACCCAGUAUGAUUAAACAUACAAAAUUCCCUAUGUAAUUUAAGGAUAUGGGUAUCCAUCUCAUAUCACACAGACUAUAUAUAUAUAUUUUUUUUUUUUUUUAAAGAAAGCAUACUAGGGCAAGUGAAAGCUCAAAUUCCAGUUUGUUUUAUCAAUCUGACAAAGCUUUGCUAAAGUCACCCAGCACCAAGCUUGUCACUCCAGCCCGGCUGGAAGGUGCACUGGUGGCUCAGGGGUGGGGGGGACCAGGGGCCCUGUUCACACUGCGCAGCCUUCAGGUCUAAGCUGCCUGCGUCUCAGGCCUCUGAGGUGGGUGGUGGUGGGAAAUAGAAAGCGAGACUGAGUCCCAGCCCCACCUCCCGCACUGUGGCCUCGCACUGCUGUGGUCAGGAGUGUCAGCCCAAAUCUGAGGUCUUUGACCCCCUCUCCAUCAGACCCACUACCUAUCUGACUUGGGAUUUGAGAGGCUGUAGUGAUCAGACAAAAAUUUCUUCCAUUUGUAGCCACUAGCCACGUCCUUUUUUCUUUUCUUUAAUUAAACCCAUGUGGGGAACUGCAAAAAUUGUGAAGACGGAAAACUCUUAACUGAUAGAAUGUGACAUCUGGAGCUCGGCAGCCAUUGUAACUGCUCCUACCACUGCUGGCUGAGUGGGACCCUGCUGUGAAUUAUUCUAUAAAUGGGCAUUGAUGCCAGACUGCGAUGUGUGAAGAUACGUAAAAAUACUCGACGGCGGUGUGGUCUGAACUCUACAGAGCUCCACAAAGUGCCGCUCAACUGGCUGAAACAGUUUACAUGACAGUGUCAGAAAUGCGUGCUGAGUGCCUUUCUCCCCGCCCUAACUAGCCACUCCCGACACCCCCACUCAACUCUAAAGGCUGAGCUGGCACAUCCACUCCAGUGGUCGUGUGGGUGUGACGCGGUGUACACAGAUCAGCUGAACCUACACAUGCGUGUAUGAGUGGAGCCAGGAUCUCCGCAGACCCCUCAUUUACUCACCAUCAAAGCCACCCUGCCCGAGCCGCACAUGGACACAGGUAAGACCCUUGGAGCUGGGGCAGAGGCCUCCUGUCUCCUUCCCUCUCCUCCCUUUCCCUCUGUGUGCUGCAGCCGUGGUGGUAAAGAAGGCCGGGCAGGGGGACCUGCUCAGCCACAGUAGCUGUUCAUGGGCCUUGCUGGGUCUUCCUGUGGGUUCCCGUGAAGCGGCCACCCUGUCUCAUCCCUGGAAUCUGAAGACUUUUAUCCAACAAAGUAAAAAGUGACCUCUGAGGUCAUAACCUUCACUUGGAGUUGGGGAAAAAGCCUCAAGGUGAUGACAGAAGAACAGGGAAGGUGGGGCGUGACUGAGGAGCAGCAGCAGCUGUCUCCUGAAAGAAGGCACAGCCUCAAGGCGCUGAGGGUCUGCGGCAGCAGGAGGCCUGCCAGCCAGGGCAGCAGAGUCCCGACUGCAGGUACAAAGGCAAUUCCACCGUAGACAGAAACGCCGAGUGAGGAGACGCGGUGGUGAUGGUGGGGGGAGGACUGCAGGGGAAGCCUGGAGUGAGCUUGCAGGAGGGAGGUCGGGAAAGCCGAGGCAAUGCUCACAGAGGACACUGGAGAAAGGAAAUCCAACCCUCCUCUGCCCUUUCCACGCCCUGUUAACGUCUUACUCUUCCAUCGAGGAAGGAAAAUGGUUUUUAAAGGACUGGGUGGAUUAUUCAGGGAAGUUUCAACUUCCUAGGGAUGUGGGAGGCCUGUAUGAAAGGGCCGGUGCUAUCCAAAUCUCAAUCUCCACUGGGUGGUGCCCCGUGCUGCAGGAGCACUAGAGCUCAGAAGUGGUGAGGGGUGGGACAGACUGUGAGCUGGGCCUCUUUUUCAAAAUAGGCAAGAAGGACGGCUCUGAAGAUUCAGAGGUUUAAAAGUUUACCAUUCCUUGAAAUACUUGAGAAAAAAAAUCACGAUUCAAUCUAUUUGUGAAAUUAGGCCAUGGGCAAGCAACCGGCAGAGUGACUCUGAAGGGUAACAGCAUCUUGUCACUUCGAUCUCUUCCUGCAAUAGGCUGAUGAGAAUGGCAAACUGAGGUAGAGGUCAAAGUCAUAGUCCCGAUCCGGACUCGUGUGUGCUCCACGUGUUCAGCGGGGGGCCGACGGAUUAAAGUCCGCACUCUGUAACCCUCAGGCAGGGGAGGGACUUGGAAACCUCACGGAGGAGCAACAUCGGCAGCUUUGGAGGGGUCUCCCUCCCCUUCCCUGGGUCUAGCUCAGGCAGUGAUGGCGGAGGCUCCACCCUUCCAGGAGGCUUUCACCUGGACCAGGGAAGUGACGGCUGCGGGCUGAGGCUCCACUGGGAACCCCCCACAGUGACAGGAGCUGAUGUCUGCUCUUCACGGAGUUGGAGGCGCUCACUGUCAGCUACCAAGAAAUGUCAUGAUCGCUUUUCAGUCAUCACCCCAAGUGCCCAGAUCAGCUCCUGUCAUGAGACCAGUGAGACCUGGAGUCGGGUUCACCUGCCUUGGCCGCGGCCUUCUGACCUCCGCACACUGAGUCUGCCGUGGCACAGCGCAGCCUUGGCUGCAAGUGGGCGGCACUGGGUUUUCAAGAGACUGACACGUGGUGGCCCACAGAGCCACGACCAAACGACUGCCAUCCUAAGGCCCUAGGUGGCCUCUGCCUUACAGGCUGACUUACUGACGGAGAAUUCUAUUUCAACUAUGGUAAAAGCUUAAAUUUAAAUGCUGCAACAAUUUCUCAAGAAGUAAGUAUACACAGGAAUAAAAAAUCAGGCUUCCUUCAUUCACUCAUGCAACAAAUAAUUUUUGCGUACUUAGUACACAGUUGGCUAAUUCCUGGAAGUUCUUCACAAUUCAGCUUAAACCUUCCCUUGACAUGUCUGUCAGGUUUGACUGUGGUCUGGCCCCUGAGGGGCAUUUUGUAGCAUGGUGUGUGUUUGUAUGUUUUAAUGUCAUAACUAGGUUGCAUUAUCUGCAGUUAGUUGUAGGGGCCAGAUAUGUUACUUAUCUUGCAAGUGCACUGGGGAGCUGACUUGUAAUGAAUGGCCCUGCAUCUUGUUCAACUUUUGAAUGUCCUCCAGAUACUUAUGUAGGUGAAAACUCUGUUUCUAUAAGAAGUUAGUUAUAUAAACUUUAUAUAUAAUUUUUUUCUAUAAACUUUGUAUAAAAAGUCAGUUAUAUAUAAAAGUUAGAACUUAACUCUUUUAAAAAUAUAUAAAUACAAAAUGUUUUUUUUCAUGGUGUUACAGAUUCCAGAAAUGUAACUACCAUAGAAGUUAUUCUUUGCUUUGUCUGUCUCCUGCGGGGAUGGAACUGUGAGGCCAAGGGUUGUCCACCACUUUGGAAAAAAGUCCUAUUGCUAAUGAGAACGCCUUUCAUGUACAUGUGUGACUUAUGGAAAUUACACCACGCAGGAAGUUACCCCCUCACGUGUCUUCCAGUAUGGUAAAGGGGGAGUUACAAUAUAUUUGUUUCAAAAAAGUGGAGUGUGGUCCAGUGAUGGCAGAAUGGAUAAACACAAAGUGCUACCCAACUACAGUGGGACAUCACUCAGCCUGGACAUGGGAGAGGUCCUGCCCCAGGUGACCCUGAGGACGUGGUACUCAAUGAAAGAAACCAGUUACAGAAACACAUUCACAGUGUGACUCCACUUCUGUGCAGUGCUCUUCCACUCACCUGGAGCAUCACCCUUGCCCCACUGCAGGGUGGUGACUGACCCCCCACGUCUGUCUCCCGCCUGGAUUGUAAGCGCUUUGAGCCAGUAGCCGCUGUUAAACUUUGUGCCCACAAAGCCUGGCCUAAGACCUAUCUGGUAUUCAGUAAAUGCUUCAUAAAGAUUUGCUAGAUGAAUAAUCCAAAACACUUAUAAUAAGUCAGUCUCCAAUAAUGAAUAAACCAAGACAAGACCAUUGCAUAUGGACAUUGUGGUCUUUUAAAAAUCUCCAUGGGAGAUUCCCCUGAUUUGUUUGACAACAGAAAUUGCAUGCUUUUUACAAGAACACUAUGAUGGCCUGCUUACUUAUCCUCAUGGAAAAUCUGAAGACUAGAGAUGGAAAGAUAAACAGAGACCGAGCUGGAAGCUGUUUCUUGUAGAUGACAUCACUUUCCAAGCGAUGCUUCACACGUGAUUUCCAUGUGCUGCUAAGUGUACGGAUUUCCUUUGUGCAAGUAUUUACCUCAGAGAGAAUGUGCAGGGCCUGGAUAUCUGUUGAGUGUUUGUUUUUAUAAUGUACAAUACAAACCAUCCUGGUUCCAGAAAAAGGGUUAAAGAGACUUUAUUAUUCCUUCCUACCCCCGAGCAUCUAAAUCCUGGUCUCUUUAACCUAAAUCAUGUUUCACCUGCUUAAGUAGUGAUAUGAUACAUGUCUCAACUCAUUCGAUUCAGCCACCAUAAAAUAUCACUGGCUGUAAAUGUGCCUCAAAGGGCUUUGCAAAGCAUUUCAAAUAGAAAAAAACCCUAAACAGUCAAAAGCUUUUUUGAUUUUUGUGGAGAAAUUGUGCAUUUAAAUUGGGCUGAUUUUUAAAAAAUCAUAUUAAACUUC